GUGGGAAUAUACUGUGACUGUGUGUCCUAUUUGUCUGCUUGUCUGUCCCUUGUCACAGUCUCCCAUUUGGUCCCCUAGGGAGGUCCACCAGGUGGGAGACCUGCAUAAAUACUGGGCAGGUAGCCCUCAUUAAACAGACCACUGCUUGACCCUUAACACGGAGCCUUGUCUCGUCUUUGGGGGGAUUUACUGAAUGCUGAUAGAGACUGAUUGCUAGGAGUGUAAGCCGCUUGGAUGCUUUUCCUAUUCGUCUGCUAGCAGCGAUUCGUAUGGUUCCUGUUCAUCUGUUUGGAGUGCUAUAUUGGAUG